CGACUCCGCGCUCGCGCUUUGAGUAAGGUUUUCCACAGCUUUUCCAGUGCCAAGUGUGAAGUGAGUCAAACCGCAGUGCUAAAUGAAUCGCGAUUGGGGAAAUGUGAAGAGUCGUGGACUCUAAGAGUGCUACGACGUGUACAGAGACUCUGCAAUAAAAAAAACAUAAAUUGGUGAUGCCGCCGAAGCGUCGGAGAAGAUUCCAAGGCCUAUAUUACCAUUCAUCGCCACCCAAAGUAAUGCCGAUGAACGGACAGACAGGCGGCCUGAAUGGAAGCAAGCGUCGCAACAACGAUGAUUUCUCGGUAAAGCUAUCCACCAUUCGUAUCUGGAUGCACGAAAAGGACAUUGGCAAACUGACACGCAUUCUGUGGGCGGGCCAAGGACAUCGCUUGUGCCAGCAGGCCAGCAAUAAUGGGCGUGUCAAGCGUUUCCUUGCCGCCGUGCCACAUGUCAUGAAUGCCAUUAAGGAUCUGCAUCAGGCGGUGAUCGACAACAAUUUGGAAACGGUGCAGGCGCAACUGGAGCCUCCCGUGCCCGCUGCCUUGGUGACCUGCAAGGACGGCAAUGGACUGAAUGUCAUCCACAAGGCCGCCGGCCUGGGCCACACCAAGAUCCUGGAGUAUCUGGUCGGUCUCUGGCCGGAGGGCGCCCACGAGAUGGACAUCACCGGCAAGACGCCGCUUCAUUGGGCUGCCAGUGCCAAAAACAACAUGCGCUGCUAUACCCUGCUCACCCAGGCGGGUUGUGACGAGGAGGCCCUCGACUAUAAAAUGAAGACAGCCUCGUACUACCGCCACAAGCCGCACGAAAUCGAGCGGGCUUUCCUCGUCUAUGUCCCGGAGGCACCGCGUGUCUCCCCCGAGAGCAUCACUGACUGGGAGGCCUUGAGCAAUGAGAGUGGCGAGAAUAGUGCCGGAGGCGAUGCGGGCAGCAAGAAAUUGGACAUUAAAAUGACACCGGCUGUGAAUGGACGUAAAUCGCUGGACGACAGCAUCGAGAACACUUCGGAGCUGGACACAAACGAUGGUACAAGUGCCAAUGAUGACGAAGAGGAUUUGUCCAAAGCGGAUUUGGAUGCGGAUGUAGAUCCGGUACCGGUUCCGCCGGAAGUAUCGCCAUUGCAGCGCAGACCGGAAACGCCGGCCACAUUCAACAAUGGCCACAUUAAUGGCGAUAUCGAAGGCGACACCGAAGACAGUGAGGCGGAGGAUGUGAUAGCGCCAGUUACGAAGGACAGCCAGCCCCUGGAGGAGUCGCAGUCGAUAGGAGGAGAACCACCAACUGAACCGGAAACGGGACCUGACAAGGAUGGCAGCGAAUCCCUGACAUCGGCCAUGGCCAUCGAGGGCUUUGUGCAGGGCGCACCCGAGGAUUAUACAGUUCAGUCUCAAACUGCAAUUGAUGAAGAGGCACGCAUGAAGCAGAUCAUCGAAUCGGGGGACCUUGAGCAGCUGGCCGAGAUCGUGCUGAAUGGCGAGGGCGCUAGUCUGUUGAAUCUCAAGUCCAAGGAGGCGGAAAUACAAGCCUUUCUCAACAACGUGCCCAGCUACAUGGAGAAAAUCCAUCGCGUGCACGAUGCGGCACGUGACGGCAGUUUGCUGGCGCUGCAGCAGGCACUGGAUCGCCGGAAGUUUGCCAUUGCAAAGGACGACAUAUCCCCCAAUGGCUCCACGGCCCUGCACGUGGCCGUGCUCUUUGGACACACGGACAUCGUUCGGUAUUUGGCUUCGCGUUUUCCGGAGACCAUGACAAUUACGGAUAAUGACGGACGCACGCCGCUUCACUAUGCAGCCACGAUUAAGGACAAUGGCCAUUUCUACAACAUGUUAUCCCAGCUGGGUGGCAAUUCCAAGGCACUGGACAAGGUCAGGCGCAGUCCAUGAGCUUUCAGGCCAAUCCCAUCUUCAAGACGGAACAGGGAAAAUAUCUGGCAGACUCUCUGGCCGAUCCCCUGAUCAGGGCUCUCACCGAGAUCGCUAACAAACGGCCCAAGGAUCCCGUGGCCUAUCUCACCGGCUAUCUGCAGCAC
rnacentral:misc_RNA from 1 species